CCUACGGGAGGCAGCAGUAGGGAAUCUUCCACAAUGGACGAAAGUCUGAUGGAGCAACGCCGCGUGAGUGAUGAAGGUUUUCGGAUCGUAAAACUCUGUUGUAAGGGAAGAACAAGUAAGCGAGGUAAUGCCAGUCCCUUGACGGUACCUUGCGAGCAAGCCACGGCUAACUACGUGCCACCGGCCGCGGUAAUACGUAGGUGGCAUGCGUAGUCCGGAAUUAUUGGGCGUAAAGCGCGCGCAGGCGGCCUUAUAAGUCUGAUGUGAAAGGCCCCGGCUCAACCGGGGAGGGUCAUUGGAAACUGGAAGGCUUGAGUACAGAAGAGAAGAGUGGAAUUCCAUGUGUAGCGGUGAAAUGCGUAGAGAUGUGGAGGAACACCAGUGGCGAAGGCGACUCAUUGGUCUGUAACUGACGCUGAGGCGCGAAAGCGUGGGGAGCAAACAGGAUUAGAUACCCGAGUAGUC
rnacentral:rRNA from 1 species